rnacentral:tRNA from 1 species
GAGAGAGGCUUGCCAGCAACAAAGGUUGCUACCCCCAGUGCCCUCGGUUGGAUUCCGAUGCUCCCUCG